AUUGAACGCUGGCGGCAUGCCUUACACAUGCAAGUCGAACGGCAGCGCGGACUUCGGUCUGGCGGCGAGUGGCGAACGGGUGAGUAAUACAUCGGAACGUACCCUGUUGUGGGGGAUAACUAGUCGAAAGAUUAGCUAAUACCGCAUACGACCUGAGGGUGAAAGUGGGGGACCGCAAGGCCUCACGCAGCAGGAGCGGCCGAUGUCUGAUUAGCGAGUUGGUGGGGUAAAGGCCCACCAAGGCGACGAUCAGUAGCUGGUCUGAGAGGACGAUCAGCCACACUGGGACUGAGACACGGCCCAGACUCCUACGGGAGGCAGCAGUGGGGAAUUUUGGACAAUGGGGGCAACCCUGAUCCAGCAAUGCCGCGUGUGUGAAGAAGGCCUUCGGGUUGUAAAGCACUUUUGUCCGGAAAGAAAUCGCGCUGGUUAAUACCUGGCGUGGAUGACGGUACCGGAAGAAUAAGCACCGGCUAACUACGUGCCAGCAGCCGCCGGUAA
rnacentral:rRNA from 1 species